UACGGAGGGUGCAAGCGUUAUCCGGAUUUACUGGGCGUAAAGGGCGCGUAGGCGGCCAGCACAAGUCAGUUGUGAAAUCUCCGGGCUUAACUCGGAAAGGUCAACUGAUACUGUGCGGCUAGAGUGCAGAAGGGGCAACUGGAAUUCUCGGUGUAGCGGUGAAAUGCGUAGAUAUCGAGAGGAACACCUGCGGCGAAGGCGGGUUGCUGGGCUGACACUGACGCUGAUGCGCGAAAGCCAGGGGAGCGAACGGG
rnacentral:rRNA from 1 species